rnacentral:lncRNA from 1 species
GGAUUCACUGCUGCUUUUUUCAAUAGUGGUAUUUAACAUAAGUCUUGUUUUAUACUUGUCUUUCAUGUUUAGACAGUCGUUGAUCUGUGCAGUCAGUGCUGAACACAAAGGUAUGACAUAGUAAUAAAGGCUGAAGACAAGUGAACAAUGGGAGAUUCGGAAUACGAGGGAUUCAUUCAGCAAGAUGUUUAUCCAACUAAUCUUCACUGACAAAUGAAAGUGUUAAUUGUUUUGGGAAUUUCAGCAGCUAUAGCCUUCACAGCUGUUUUCUUCUCUUUCCUUCAGACAGAAAGUGAAGAUAACUGCAUUACUGAGGCUAUCCAGAAGGCUUCUAAUUUGGUGGAUUACGCUACACAGUAUGCUCUGAAAAGGUAAAAAAUAAAAAGUGAAUUUAUUCAGCAAAAGGCUUUCCUAAUAGAAGUUUGAUAAAA